AACGAACGCUGGCGGCAUGCCUAACACAUGCAAGUCGAACGAGACCUUCGGGUCUAGUGGCGCACGGGUGCGUAACGCGGGGGAACCUGCCCUUAGGUUCGGAAUAACUCCCCGAAAGGGGUGCUAAUACCGGAUAAUGUCUUCGGACCAAAGAUUUAUCGCCUUUGGGUGGGCCCGCGUUGGAUUAGCUCGUUGGUAGGGUAAAAGCCUACCAAGGCGACGAUCCAUAGCUGGUCGGAGAGGAUGAUCAGCCACACUGGGACUGAGACACGGCCCAGACUCCUACGGGAGGCAGGAGUGGGGAAGAUUGGAACAGGGGCUAGAGCCUGAUCCAGCAAUGCCGCGUGAGUGAUGAAGGCCUUAGGGUUGUAAAGCUCUUUUACCCGGGAUGAUAAUGACAGUACCGGGAGAAUAAGCUCCGGCUAACUCCGUG
rnacentral:rRNA from 1 species